rnacentral:rRNA from 1 species
GACGAACGCUGGCGGCGUGCUUAACACAUGCAAGUCGAACGGAAAGGCCCUGCUUUUGUUGGGUGCUCGAGUGGCGCACGGGUGUGUAACACGUGAGUAACCUGCCCUUGACUUUGUGAUAACUUCAGGAAACUGGGGCUAAUACCGGAUAGGAGCUCCUGCUGCAUGGUGGGGGUUGGAAAGUUUCGGCGGUUGGGGAUGGACUCGCGGCUUACCAGCUUGUUGGUGGGGUAGUGGCUUACCAAGGCUUUGACGGGUAGCCGGCCUGGGAGGGUGACCGGCCACAUGGGGACUGAGGGACGGCCCAGACGCCUACGGGAGGCAGCAGGGGGGAGUAUUGCACAGUGGGCGGAAGCCUGAUACGACAGCGCCGCGUGCGGGAUGACGGCCUUCGAGUUGUAAACCGCUUUGGCCUGAGACGAAGCGGGAGUGACGGUAAUGGGUAAAGAAGCACCGGCUAACUACGUG